GCGGACGUGGUGGAAUUGGCAGACACGCUAGGUUUAGGUCCUAGUGCGCUAACGCGUGUGAGGGUUCAAGUCCCUCCGUCCGCA
rnacentral:tRNA from 1 species